rnacentral:rRNA from 1 species
CCUACGGGCGGCAGCAGUGAGGAAUAUUGGUCAAUGGACGAGAGUCUGAACCAGCCAAGUAGCGUGAAGGAUGACUGCCCUAUGGGUUGUAAACUUCUUUUAUAAAGGAAUAAAACGAGGCACGUGUGCCUUUUUGCAUGUACUUUAUGAAUAAGGAUCGGCUAACUCCGUGCCAGCAGCCGCGGUAAUACGGAGGAUCCGAGCGUUAUCCGGAUUUAUUGGGUUUAAAGGGAGCGUAGAUGGGUUGUUAAGUCAGUUGUGAAAGGUUGCGGCUCAACCGUAAAAUUGCAAUUGAUACUGGCAGUCUUGAGUACAGUUGAGGUAGGCGGAAUUCGUGGUGUAGCGGUGAAAUGCUUAGAUAUCACGAAGAACCCCGAUUGCGAAGGCAGCUUACUAACCUGUGACUGACAUUGAUGCUCGAAAGUGUGGGUAUCAAACAGGAUUAGAUACCCUUGUAGUC